UUAUAAUUUAAGGUCUAGCCUGCCCACUGAUUUGAUUAUUAAAUGGCUGCGGUACACUGACCGUGCAAAGGUAGCAUAAUCAUUAGUUUUUUAAUUGAAAGCUGGUAUGAAAGGUUGGAUGAAAAAAUAGCUGUCUCUGUUUAAAUUUAUUAGAAUUUUAUUUUUAAGUAAAAAAGCUUAAAUAUUUAUUGAAGACGAGAAGACCCUAUAGAGUUUUAUAAAUUUAAUUAUUGAAAAUUUUAGGAUUUUAAAAGUUAAUAGUUAAACUUAUUUAGUUGGGGUGAUUGAAAAAUUUAUUGAACUUUUUUUUUAUAGAAACAUAGAUUUAUGAAUAGUUGAUCCUUUUAUUAAGAUUAAAAGAUAAAAUUACCUUAGGGAUAACAGCGUAAUUUUUUUUGAGAGUUCAUAUUAAAAAAAAAGAUUGCGACCUCGAUGUUGGAUUAAAAUUAAUUUUUGGUGUAGAAGCUAAAAGUAUUGGGUCUGUUCGACCUUUAAAAUUUUACAUGAUCUGAGUUUAAACCGGCGUAAGCCAGGU
rnacentral:rRNA from 1 species